rnacentral:lncRNA from 1 species
GUUGAGACUACGAUCUUGGCAACAUCAGGCUUGGAAGCGCCUUUGGAGUAGAAGAAUUGGAGUUUGGGCAAAAGGGUUUUGUCGGGAUCGGAUGCGAGUAGUCGAGGUAGCGAUUUGACGAUUUUUGAGGUUUGGGAUUUGGAGAAGCCAUGGCUGUUGAAGAAGGCAAGGACCGAAUCGGGUUUUUCGGGGGUUUCAAAGCGGAGUAAUUUGGAAGCUGAUAGAGCAUCUUUAUGAGAGAGGCCACAUGAGUCAAUGAGGUAAGACACAGUGAAUGACUCUGAUCUUUCAGAAGUGGAAAUGGAUGUGGAGGAAGAUGAGAAUGGGUAGAAGUGGUGGGGAAGAAAAUGCAAGCUUUGUGGGGUUGGAGAAGCUGUGAGAGUGAACCUCACCUGGAGCACAAGGGCUUUGCGUAGGAAGCCAACGAUCAUCCUCAUCGUCCGCCAAUACUAAAACCCUAGUCCAUGUCAACCAAUACCAGACCCGGCUUAAAAAUUAAGGGAAUUGCAAUUUCCCAAACGACGUCGUUUGUGGGGGCCAAGUUUGAAAAUAGGACGACUUAGCACAUGUCUAGGAGUCAACUAUUUUUGAAUUUCUCACAUGUAAAAUAAAAUAGAUUAAAAAUUAACACAUAAUUAAAAAUUAAAUUCUUUAAUGAACCUUUUAAUUUUUAAGGAUAAUUUAAAAUUCAAAAAACAGAUCAAAUUAAUUGGACAUUAAAUUAAAACAUUUUACAAUAUCAUAUUUGUAAUUGAAUAUUAAAUAUGUGCACCGAAUUAAAAAUCUAACUUAUUUAUAUGUUAAAAAGUUAAAUUUUAUUUAUUAUUUAUUUAUUAUUUAUUUUAAAUAAAAUAUUAUAAUAAUUUUUUGUUUUUAAAUUAUUAUCUUUUGUUUUAAAUAAAAAAUUUACAAAAAUAUUAAUAUCCUUAUGUCCUUAACAUAUAUUAAAAUAGCAUAUUUUUUAUAAAAAAAAAUAAUUUAUGAUUUUAUUAUAAUAUCAUUAUUCAUGUUUUACUAAAAACUAUUUAUUUUUAAUUUAUUUGUAAUUAAAAAAUUAUUUUUAUUUUUUUAAAGAUUUCAAUUAAAUAUAAAUUGAAUUUGUAAUUUUUGUAUAAACUCAAAACAAAAAAAUUAUUUUAAAAUUAACUUAUCCAAAUAAGUUUUUUAUUUUCUAUUUUUAAAAGCUGUUUUAAAAAACAACCUCCAAACACUCUUAUUUUUAUAAAAUACUAGAAAACUGUUUUGUUUUGUUUUUUUGUUUUUUGUUUUCCUUCAAGCUUAAAAACAGUUUUUAAAAGGUUUUUUUUUAUUUUUAAAAACUGUUUUGUAAAAACAAUUUUAUAUUGAACUUCCAAAUGAGAGCUAAGAUUGCAUAUAAAAUAAAUCUGAAUUAGUUGCAGUAAGUACCUAAUGCAUAAAUGUGAAGAACCACACAGGGAAGGAGGAGAAAAUUUUGGAUUGAUAAUGUGGACAUUCAACAAUCACCACUUCCCUCUUGGAGACAGUCUUGCUUUUUUGAAAGGUUGAUUUUUUCCUGAUACAGUUUCAUUAACUGAGGAGCUUCCUCCUUGAAACCAUUCACAAACUUCCGCAGAAACAUCUUUUCAGUAGACUCAAAGAGAACUACCAGGCUAGUGUCGUUCUUAAUCAAACCCUUUGACAACAAAACUUGAAUGACUGAAUACCGAGGAAUAAUUCUCUUCUCCAAGCUAAGCGGGAUAAGAAGGGGCCGGCGAGCAAUCAAAGAAGACUCCCUCCCCAUUUUGUUGACGAAGAAAUCCAUUGUUGCCAUUAUUUUAUCCUCGGAAUGAGUCAUACACCGGGGAAGCUUUAUGAAGGCUAACCGAAUCUCUUCCUCAGACCAACCCCACCUCUUAUAUGCAUCAAUCUUCCUUUCCCAGGUUGAUUUUCCCAUCGCUCUCAUUGCAUGGAUUGCUAUAACGAACUUCAUUUGUGAAGGAUUAAACCCCAUUUUCUUUACUUCCUCCAAAUUCUCCCUAAACAGAUUUGGCCUCACCAUGAAUGCCAUAGGCCGAUUCAUUAGCAAUCCUGCAAUAUUUGAUUUGGGGACUCCAAAUUCUUGCAACGCAUUGAUAUUAGAUGCAACAUAGGUGUGAAGAUCAAAUAGUAGAAUCCGGGAAAAGCGUUUAAUAACAGUAAUUGCCAUCUCGUCGGAUUGAAGAAAAUCUUUGAAGAAAUUAAAAGAUGGGAUGAUUUGAUUUUCCAAGCUUCGAUACAAGAUGCCUGGGGUAGAGACUACGAUUUUGGCAACGUCAGGCCUGGAAGCGCCUUUGGAGUAGAAAAAUUGGAGUUUGGGCAAAAGGGUUUUGUCGGGAUCGGAUGCGAGUAGUCGAGGUAGUGAUUUGACGAUUUUUGAGAUUUGGGAUUUCGAGAAGCCAUGGCUGUUGAAGAAGGCAAGGACCGAAUUGGGUUUAUCGGGGGUUUCAAAAGAGAAGAAUUUGGAAGCUGACAGAGCAUCUUUAUGAGAGAGGCCACAUGAGUCAAUGAGGUAAGACACAGUGAAUGACUGUGAUUUCCCAGAAGGGGAAAUGGAUGAGAAUGGGUAGAGGUGGUGGAGAAGAAAACGCAGGCUUUGUCGGGUUGGUGAAGCUGAGAGAGUAAACCUCACCUGGAGCACAAGGGCUUUGCGUAGGCA